rnacentral:tRNA from 1 species
UAGCUCAGUCCGGAUAGAGCGCAGCCCUGCGGAGGCUGAGGUCGUGGGUUCGAGUCCC